GUGGGGAAUAUUGGACAAUGGGCGAAAGCCUGAUCCAGCCAUGCCGCGUGAGUGAUGAAGGCCUUAGGGUUGUAAAGCUCUUUCGCCAGGGACGAUAAUGACGGUACCUGGAUAAGAAGCCCCGGCUAACUUCGUGCCAGCAGCCGCGGUAAUACGAAGGGGGCUAGCGUUGUUCGGAAUUACUGGGCGUAAAGCGUAUGCAGGCGGACUUUUAAGUCGGGGGUGAAAUCCCGAGGCUCAACCUCGGAACUGCCUUCGAUACUGGAAGUCUUGAGUCCGGGAGAGGUGAGUGGAACUCCGAGUGUAGAGGUGAAAUUCGUAGAUAUUCGGAAGAACACCAGUGGCGAAGGCGGCUCACUGGCCCGGUACUGACGCUGAGAUACGAAAGCGUGGGGAGCAAACAGGAUUAGAAACCCGUGUAGUCC
rnacentral:rRNA from 1 species